rnacentral:rRNA from 1 species
CAGCAGUGAGGAAGGUGGGUAUGUUAAUAGCAUACUCUAUUGACGUUAGCUGCAGAAGAAGCACCGGCUAACUCCGUGCCAGCAGCCGCGGUAAUACGGGAGGGUGCGAGACGUUAAGUACGGAAUUACGUGGGACGUAAAGCGACAUGCAGGUGGUUUGUUAAGUCAGAUGUAGAAAGGCCCGGGGCUACAACCCGUACGGUAAAUUGACUAUUUAGAAAACGUGGACAAACUAGAGUACUGUAGAGGGGGUAGAAUUUCAGGUGUAGCGGUGAAAUGCGUAGAGAUCUGAAGGAAUACCGGUGGCGAAGGCGGCCCCCUGGACAGAUACUGACACUCAGAUGCGAAAGCGUGGGGAGCAAACAGGAUUAGAUACCCUGGUAG